rnacentral:rRNA from 1 species
CCAGCAGCUGCGGUAAUUCCAGCUCCAAUAGCGUAUAUUAAAGUUGUUGCAGUUAAAAAGCCCGUAGUUGGAUUUCUAGAUAGGUGGGUACUUGUACUUUGCUUGUCUACCAGUCAUAGACUGUUACUGUGAGGAAAUUAGAGUGUUUCAAGCAGGCUUACGCCUUGAAUAAUUUAGCAUGGAAUAAUAAUUUAGGACUUCGGUUCUAUUUUGUUGGUUUCUAGAACUGAAGUAAUGAUUAAUAGGGACAGUCGGGGGCAUUCGUACUCAACAGUCAGAGGUGAAAUUCUUGGAUUUGUUGGAGACGAACUACUGCGAAAGCAUUUGCCAAGGAUGUUUUCA